rnacentral:misc_RNA from 1 species
UUUCCGUAGGUGAACCUGCGGAAGGAUCAUUAUUGAAUAACCGAGGUGCGAGGGCCGUCGCUAACCCGACAGGGCGGGCACGCCCGAGUGCCCUCACACACAUCCAUCUCACCCCUAUGUGCACCACCGCGUGGGUCCACCUUUGGCUUAUCCGGAGGGGGGCUUACGUUUUCACACUAACUUUGUAUGCAGUGUAGAAUGUAUUUUUUGUUUUUGCGAUCACGCAAUAAAUACAACUUUCAACAACGGAUCUCUUGGCUCUC